rnacentral:rRNA from 1 species
UGGGGAAUAUUGGACAAUGGGCGGAAGCCUGAUCCAGCCAUGCCGCGUGUGUGAAGAAGGCCUUUUGGUUGUAAAGCACUUUAAGCGAGGAGGAGGCUACCUGGAUUAAUACUCUGGGAUAGUGGACGUUACUCGCAGAAUAAGCACCGGCUAACUCUGUGCCAGCAGCCGCGGUAAUACAGAGGGUGCGAGCGUUAAUCGGAUUUACUGGGCGUAAAGCGUGCGUAGGCGGCUUUUUAAGUCGGAUGUGAAAUCCCCGAGCUUAACUUGGGAAUUGCAUUCGAUACUGGGAAGCUAGAGUAUGGGAGAGGAUGGUAGAAUUCCAGGUGUAGCGGUGAAAUGCGUAGAGAUCUGGAGGAAUACCGAUGGCGAAGGCAGCCAUCUGGCCUAAUACUGACGCUGAGGUACGAAAGCAUGGGGAGCAAACA